UCACGAGCAAGCAUGCGAUACCGAGCGGGCUGGUUCAGACUUGCUUAAACGCGUAGUAUGGGUCGACGCGUGCGCCUCUUUGUCGAGCAAUUGACAGCUUCCAGUGGUCGGACGUGCGGAGCGGGAAAGAUGUAAUGCAAAGUGCGCCAACGCUUAGUGAAAAAUUUUAUUAUGGGAGCCUGCUGGUGUCGUGUGACACCUUCGAGUGUUGGCUGACAAUACAUCAUGACUGUGCUGUCGAUACGGUGACUCCUUAGCCUCUCUGUUUCGUUGCUCAGACGUAGCCCUGGGACGCGACUGUCCUAAUUACGAGACUUCAUCGACUGGCCUUGGACUGCCUGUUGGGGGUGAGUUUACAGGCCAUUGCAGCAGUACGAACCUUGAUUACGGUCGACGGUACAUGAUUUCCUGCUUCGAAAGUCGGUCUAUCAAGUGACAAACGUUUGCGAACAAACAGUUGUCCGAUGUCGUCUGCGUACACAAUGUGAUACAGUGCCUUCUACUAUAGCCUCCAACAUGCGCAACGCUAAACACCUCACACCGCUGCAGUACUGAUAAACGAUCUGGCACAGUCUGCGCAGCCGCCGAGGGUAGUCGACUGAUUAGUGUCUCGGAUUCAUUAAUGUCUUUCCAGGGAAUGAACGCUGCCAAAGAAAAACAGCCGACAGCAUGCUGUGGCUCACGUUCAGAAAGAACUACAAUGCAUGCCCACCUCGCCCGAACGGGGUGCCGGCUACUUUGUGUUGUUAUGUUUCCUUCCCCCGGCAAAAAGUUCGUGUUUUCCGUCACCGUUGCUGACACUAGCUGGCCAAUGUCACUUCUGAGUGAGGGCUGUGCGUAUCCGAACUGAGAUUAUGGUGAACUAUGUAUUUCCUGGAUGCAUCAGACACCUACCGUCAGACAAGCUGCCACAUUGGCUUCAGCAUGUAAUUUGAACGAGAUAACGAAUGAUUGGUAG
rnacentral:lncRNA from 1 species